rnacentral:lncRNA from 1 species
AGACGUCUCUGUGAAAUAGAAGUAACCACACUGAACCUCAGAGAAGCAUGACUCCUUCGGUCUCUAGUCCCUACUUUUCUCCAGAUGUGGUAGAGUGGCAAAAGACCCGGGAUGUCCACAAGGGAAAUCCAGGAGUUGAGAUUUUCUAGGAUCAGCCACCAUCCUGAUCUUGAACUAAAGCAAUUCCAGGUACCACUAGGAUUUGGUGCUGAUAUUCACAAAACAACUGAGGCCUGAAAAGGGCACAGACUGGCAGGGUUCAGUGACCCGGAGUAAAGAAGGAAACACUUCCCAACUACUCUGGACCUCAGUCUCCCCAUCUCGAAAAUAUCCUCUUAUUUCCUUACCUACCUCCCAAUGUCAGGUUCUGAAGAGCUGAGGAGGAUGUGAAGACCAUUAGGAAGACACUGAACAUCAGUAAUAAAAGAUGCCAUCCUACAGUGGGGACACCACCAACAGCAUCCUCUGAAAUGCUACCCUCCACCAUCCCCUCCCUUGCUAGACCCUCAACCUUUCCUCGCAUGCUUUCAGCCUUAGGCGCAAAGCUUUUCCCCUCCACAGAUCCCCCCACCGCACCCCUCAAGUGGGACUUCAGACCCUUAGAAAGUCCACCCGGCCUUCCUCUUGGCCAGUUCUCGAUCCACCCCCUUAAAGAGAUCCCUCACAGAUUCUCACCCUGCUUCAGCAUUCGCCCCCACCUCCGUGAGUCCCUGCUUGGAUAGCGUUCCCCCGAGUGGCCCGGCCUCAGCAGGUACUCUCCCUAACUUGUCCCCACGUUCCUCAGCACAGUCUCACCACAGCGAGUGCUCCCUCUAACCGGUCCCAAGUCUAACCUCCUUAGCAGAUGCUCCCCUCAGCCGGACCCUCACCCACCAGACGUCCCCCCCCUCACUCAGCAGGUGCCCCAUCGGCUGGGUCGCUUAGCUCCGGGGACUCCCACACAGGUGUAUCCCCUCAACCAGUUCCCGCCUUUUCUUCCCCUGACCCCAUGCCCGUCCUCUUAGCCAGUGGCCCCUCACCGGCGCGGCGGGUUCCUCAGCUGUACCGUCUCCAUGGCGCUGCCAGCAGCCGCCCAGACCCGCUCACUGCUCCAUCCUCCCGCGGACCUCCUGAGCCCGCCCCGCAGACCCUCCCACACUUCCGCUUUCCGCCCCUACCGGAAGCGGCGCGCGGCGCGGGAGCGGGGCGGAGCCACGGCCCUGAUCACGUGGUUCGGGCGUGAGUCUUGUGGCGCGGUGGGGCGCGGACCCGGAACCGCCAAGUGGUGAAGGCGCCUCCAGGCGGUGCCCGCUGGUCUCUAGAGUGUCAGUGGCGCUGUCUUCCUGCGUUACCGGAGCGCACAAAAUACUCGGUCCCCAGGCCGAGAACGCACCUCUACCUGGGUCCUGGGUCCCAUUUCACAGACUGAGAUGCGUGAAGCGCCUCCUUUAGAAGAGCUGACAAUUCUUAGCAAACCAAGUUUUGCGUGAUUUUGGGGAGGCGGCGCUGCCCCAGGAACGCCUGGAGGUAUUUGUGGUUUUCUGCCGCUUACCUGGUUGAACUCUGGUCCCAACGGGCCCCCUGCACAUUUUCUCCUACAAUGCAUCAACGCGCAAAUUGCCCCACUGUCUUUCUUAAAGGCCUCCCCUUUAAGUCAGUUUGCAGACAUAAAAAUAAGCAACAUUAAUUAAGCAUUUGCCGUGUACUUGUCUUCAUAUAUUAUCUCAUUUAAUCCCCUGUGUCAAGCCGAUAAGGUCAUCCCCGUUUUUAUUUAUUUAAUGAUUUAACACAGUCCCUAAACGUUUUCAGUGCUUUACCUCAUUUAAUACUCCUAACAACCUAGACGGUAUUAUUAUUAUUCCUACUUCAUAAGGCCAGAGAGGUGAAGUAUCUAGCCCAAGGUCACAUAGCUUAGAGUAUAGGUUUGGGGAUUUAAAUCCAGUUUGGUCUGAUUUCAGGGCCUGCACCACCAAACUGGACAGCCAUGGGUGUGUAACCUCUUUUUGGGCCUGAGAAACAGACCUUUCUCUCCACUCAGAGCUCCGGCUUCAGCUAUUGUGCUUCCGAAUGCCACUACCAUCAGAUAUGCCAUCUACAGAACUUAACACCUGAGCACCCACCCUUCAGGGCAAUAUGGUGAAACCCCUUUUCUACAAAAAACUUAGCCAAGCAUGGCAUAUUUGUGUAAUGCCAUUUGCAUGACCCACAUGGUCACCCUGGACCCCGUGGAUCAGGCCCUGCCUGGUGCCACCACCGCCACUUCUGUGCCAGGCCCCCAGUGUGAUGCAAGUUGCAUGAUGCUCUUUGCUGUAGUGCCUUUUAAUGGCAUAGCUUUGGCAGGUUUGGAGAUGUUCAGAAUAGGCAAAUCCUGUGGUGGAUUUGUGGUUGUCUAAGGCCCUGGUGGAAGGGAGCAUAGGUGAAUUGGAGGGGAUGAUUAAAAGGUGUGAGAUUUCAUUUUGGGGUGAUGAAAAUGUUCUAAAAUUGGUUGUAGUAAUGGUUAUACAACUCUGAAUAUACUAAAAGGCAUUGAAUUGUACACUUUCAAUAUGUGAGUUAUAUCUCAAUAAAGCUAUUUUACA